CCUGGGGAGAUUCUGUUUGGACACAAGAGGAAAAUUUUUCACUAUCAGCCAUUGGAAUAAUCUCCACAAGGAAGGGGUGGAUUCCCCAACGCUGGACACUUGCAAGAUUUGGCUAGACAGGGUGCUGGGACAUCUACUCUAGGUCAUGCUUUGCCAGAAAGGCUGGACCAGAUGACAUCCUUGACAUCCCUUCCAACCAGGGAUCCAAUGAUUCUAUGAUUCCAUGAUUCCUUAGGCCGGCACAGACUGGGGAGCCACCUGGAGUCAUGCAGAAGCCCUUCUUGUGAAGGUAGCCAUGUGCUGCUGCAGCCCAAACCUCAGCCAGGCCGCCUCCUCUCCACAGGGCUCCAGCAAGAGGAAUGGCUGCUGCGGAGUUAAGCAUUGCUUCGGUGGGAGAAAGGAUGACAGCACAUGCUGGAGGGAAGAAUGAAGCUGCUGAGGCAUGCAUGCAAGCCUUUGAACCCACUACUGGUUUUCUGGGCACUUUUUGGAAUAGAAGGAAGAUUAAUUACAAGUAUGAGCUACUUUGAGAGAAAACAGAAUAAAGACCCAUGGAGUUCUUGCAGGCUAUAAGCCUUCACUGUGAUAAAAUUCAUUGUAAGGCCUAUUUUGGUGAAUUUGAGUGCCAGACAGGUUAGUGCACGUCGUGCAGCAGAACCAGGCAGGAGGCCAUUCUGUCAAGGGGGACAAAGAUUUCAUCAAAAACAGUAGUAAACAUUUUCACACUUGAACUGGCAGGGGGUUUUCUGCCGAUUCUGUGGUACAGAUUGAUUAUGAUUAUUUUAUGAAGAAAGAUACUGCUUCCUAUUAAGUCAGUUUUUACAGAAGCUUAGGGGGUUUUGAGGGUAGCUGAUAUGGGCUUAGUGAGAGAAGUACCACUCACUUCCAAACUCGGUCAUGGAUCUCUGGUGCACCGAUUGGUCACUGUGCUGUUGUCCUGUGAACACCACAAAUGUGAAACUGAAUGAAUAAAAAAAGAAUACUUGUAGUAUUUUUUAUUGUA